UACGGAGGGGGCUAGCGUUGUUCGGAAUUACUGGGCGUAAAGCGCACGUAGGCGGCUUUGUAAGUUAGAGGUGAAAGCCCGGGGCUCAACUCCGGAAUUGCCUUUAAGACUGCAUCGCUAGAAUUGUGGAGAGGUAAGUGGAAUUCCGAGUGUAGAGGUGAAAUUCGUAAAUAUUCGGAAGAACACCAGUGGCGAAGGCGGCUCACUGGUCCGGUACUGACGCUGAUGUGCGAAAGCGUGGGGAGCAAACAGG
rnacentral:rRNA from 1 species